GUUUUGUAUUUCUUCCUGUAUGCCUUUGCUUUUGUCUUUCUGAAGAACUUCCUGAGUUAUUUCUUUAAUAUGGGUCUGCUCAGUUUUUGAACUUGUCUCUAAGUAAAGUCUUCAUUUAUGAAGAAUAUUUUCCGUGUUUGUAGAAUCUACAUUGGAUCACUGGAAAAAAGUGCCAUUUCAGUGUUUUCUGGCCUCCAUUAUAACUAUUGGAAAUAUAUUAUUAGUUUUACAUCUGAUCUGAAUAUAAUAUGUCAGGAUCUCUGGAUGUCUUUAAAUAAAAAGAGCCAGCAAUCAAUAAUCACCAUUCCCCCUGGAGGAAAAGAGCUUAUGCCUUCUAUUUGAAGAAACUAAGCCAAUAAGAUGCAACAGAUUUGCUUAAGGAUGAAAAAAAUUUAGGAGGAAAUUCUUGGACACAAAAACUGACUUUAUAAAUUGGAAAAGCUAAGAAUUGAUGCUUGUCCAGCUGAGGUCUGGCCAGCAAACAUAAUCCGCAUCAAUACUUUACAAGAAGGCAAACUUCAUGCAAGAAAUUAAUCGCACAGGUGAUGGAAUAGCGGAGAAAGAUAACUGGUAACAAUAGGAAUAGAGUAACUUACAGAUUUACACCAUCAGGAAUUCACUAACGUCCUUAGACUGGAGAAUCAACGAAAGGAAGGUGGAAAACUGGAACCCAGGAUCUGUGUGCCUCUCAGGUUGGAUGACAGAACCACGGGGGACCUGAUGGUGGCAGCUGGAGUCGCAGAAGAGAGGAGCCACUACCAGGGAAAGUGCUUAAGGAGGGGAUAUUCUAGCCACCUCCCUUAUCCUGCCCUCCAUCUCUCAUCUUCACCUUCAUGACCAACAUAAGCCAGAAGUCAAAACAACCUUGCGAGCCAAGAAAAUCAGCCUUUAGGGGUCAGAAGGAUAAAGAACUGAUCUGCCAGCAAAGAGGCCCAAGUCCUGCAAAAUAAUCCUCCAGGUUUUUAUAAACAAAUACGAAAACUAAAGUUUUAAAAGCAAUUUGUAACAGUAAAGGUAGGAAUGCACACAUUGCCCUCAAACUUAGCCCUCCUGAGAGAGAAAUCUAGCACCUACAUUUUUCACUCAUCAAAGAGGGCAGUGAAUAGCAAAAGAAAUCACAGCUGAAAGAGAAUUAUAUUAAUCAAAGCAAUUUCUGGUGAAAGGAGGCAUGGAAAUCUCUAAGCAAGUUAUAGAAAGAAAGCUACACUCUUCAAACCACUGAAUUGAAAACAAAGCUUCAGAUGAUAACUAUAUGAUUUGACAAAGAUACUUCAAAUUGCUCAGGAAAAUCUUUUUCUUUACAGUAAUGUUUCAGGCUAUUUAAAACAGAAUCUCAGUCGAGGAACUAAACAAAGAUGCUAGGAUUGGACAUAGAAGACAGAUGAGUUUGGCUGUUAUCCACAUAAGAAUAGAAGCCAAAAUUAUGCUGACUAUAAAUGGAGCCAAGCGAUGUCAUAUAGAUUUGAAAACCAUGUUGUGCCAAGGAAGAUGUUAAUGUUUUUCAGUUUUCAGGUUUACUAAAGAUCAUAAGUUGUUUGAUUUCUUAAUCUAGUUUACAUAUCCUAAAUACCACUGCAACUUGCAAGCACCCCUCCCCGCCCCCCACACACAUUUGUUUUUUAAAUUCUAGAUUUGACAGUUUGGUCUAGAUUCCAAGCCUAACUAGAUGGGCGGUAUUUUGGUUCAUUCAGAUAUAUCUUAUCGAUUUGUUUUGCAUGACUUAUCAGAUACAGUUAACUCUUUGGAGUAGAGGUAAUUUAAAAUUAUUUACAGCUCUUGUUUAGACUAGUAACUGAAUCCAUCAUGCCCUUGUAGAAGAUACACAGGGACUUUACUGGAGGUGAAAAUAUCAAAGGAUGUUUCCUUGCUUUCUCUUCCUUGCACCCUGUAUCUAAGAUAAAGAACAAGGAUCAUCUUUGCUUCGCAUAAUGAUGUGGAGCAACUAAACCAAAUAAAUAUGUGAUGAAAUCAUUUGCAAGCAUGGAAUUUGUGAGCAUAUUUUUGAACAUGUUCAAAAGCUCAUGCGCACAUGUAUAUUUAUACAUUUGGAGCCUGUUAACAUUUCCUAAUAUUUUAAGUCUCUGAAAUGAUUAUUAUAAUAUUUGAUAUCCUCAGAUAAAGAAUGAAGUUUAACUGGAAAAGGAAUCUUCCAUAAACCUUUUAAAGGUUGCCAUUAUUUUCUUUGUAAAUCUAUGGAUGAUAGCUAAAAUAAUCAAAAUCUUCCAGAAGAUAAACCUCACAAUGUUAAAUGGCAUUUGUAUAUUUGUACCACUACUUUGCUUUAGAAAGGGUUUCCAGAGAGUUGUAAAGGUAUAUAACAUGAUACAAAGUAGCACAAACUAAAAAGUAGCAUUAACAAAAACUAAGUGGGAUUAGAAAAAUAUGUGUGUGGGUGUGUGUGAGUGUGUACUGUGGUUUGUUUUUAUUGUUAACAGGAUGCAAAACAACCCAGGCAGUACCAUUAAAUGUUCAAGUUAUAUAAGGCAGUGAUAAUGAUAGUAAUGUAUGCCAACAUAUUUGUAAAUAUUAUAGAAUAAUACGCAUGAAAUAUUAUUAUAAUUAUCUCAUUUGAGCCUAAAAACACCCAGAAGAAAGAAAAACAUACUGGAUCCUAUUAUUUGUUUCAAUGGGUAUAAAAUCAGAAAACCUGUAACAUUUUCCUUAAACCUUUAAACAUCAUUUUCCUCUUCCCCAACUCUGUUGGUAACACGACUUUCUCACUAUAUCACAUUUUCAUAGAAUUUAAGGUACUCUUCAGUCAUUAGGUCCCCCACUUCGGGAACCUGGAAUCUACCUCAAAGCCUUAAGUCACCAUCUAAAUCCUAUCUCCUGAGCUCUGCUCCCUGUCAACUGGCAGGUGUCUAAAAUGCCUCAGUCUGCAUCCCUGGAUCCCUCACACCGCUUUUCCUGCAUGUGCUUCCAGACCUCAGAAUACUGCUGGUAAGAUCUGUGGUCCUAGUUUCUUGUCUUGCUUAUUCUCUCUCUCAUCCUGUACAUCAUUUACACAUCAGUUUUCCCAACUCUCCCUCACUACAGCUUCCAGGUUCCUACUGAAUCUGCUUGGAGUCAACUGUGUGAACAGACACUUUUGCAUUUGACCACUGUCUGGUUGAGUUGCUCUAUUUUCUCAUGUUUGCCCUCAUCCCUCCAGACCCUCUCAGGAUUUUAGCACAUGCUUCCUCUCAUCUCCCUUGUCAUCUCUUUCUGAUUAAGAUAUUCUAAUUCCUCUUCCUUCUAUCAGAAUCCUCUCCAUAGUGACUACCACAGCCUACUUCCAAAUUAUGGAAAAAACUGAAAACAUCUUCAAAAACCAGCACUUUACCCAUUCAUUCAUUUAUUUUCUCUGCUCCACAAACACAGCCACUGCCUUGUGAAGCUCAUAGUCCAGCAGUGAAAAAAAAAUUGUUAUGGUAUGAUAUAGUAAGUUUUGUGAUGAAAGAAUGCCUCAAAUACUACAGGAGCUCAGAGGAAUCUUGAGCAGGUCAGGAGUGUGAAUAAUAACCUUGCCAGGAAUACAUGACAUUUCAGCUAGAUCUGGAGGGAUAAUCAGGAAGAUGUGGCAAAGGGAACUGCAAGGUAUAGGCUUGGAAAGCAUGAAACAUUUGAUACAGAAUGGAGUGUCAAAUACCUAGAGAUGACCCAAGUGCUAGGCUUAGAAGACAUGUGGUAGGAAGUGGCACUGGUCCCAUAGGCUACAGAACCCAGGUGCAUCCGAAUCUAAAACUUGUAUUUUAAAAAAUAAAAAAAUAAAAUAAAAUAAAACUUGUAUUUUUAACUGCUUGGAACUAUUCUCAGGAAAACCGUUAUAAUAAAUAAAUAUAUAAUAAAUAAUAACAAAUCCAUAAUGAUAAAUCCAUUUUUAUUGGAUUCAGAAGUUAGUUUACAGUGACACAGGAGUCUGCACUACCAGAUGUCAUAAUGCAGGCUUUGUAAACUCAACUUUCUACAGAGGCCAGGCAGUAACAUAAAUCAGUAGCUCUAUAUCAGUCACUCUGUGAUGCAGUAGCUUUCAAAUACGGAGCUCUGUGAAAUUUGGAGAACGAAUGUGCCAUUUAAAUAUGACUCCCUCUUCUUACGUCUACAGUUUGAAGUCAUAGAAAAUGCCCACCUAGCAUUGACUGAUAUUUUCCUU